ACGCAGCUAUGUCCAUUCUUCGGGCACCCGAACCCGCCUGCACCGUGCCCUUGCCCGCUCCGCCAAGCUUGGGGGAGCUUAGACGCUCUGAUUGGUCGGUUAAGGGCGGCGUUUGAAGAGAAUGGCGGCAAGCCGGAGGCUAACCCUUUCGGCGCUCGCGCCGUUAGGCUUUACCUUCGCGAGGUUCGUGAUUCUCAGGCUAAAGCCAGAGGCAUUAGCUAUGAGAAGAAGAAGCGCAAGAGGCCCCCACACCAACAACAACCGCAACCGCAACCGCAAUCGCAACCGCUCCCGCAACCGCAACCACCUUCCACUAAUACUAGUAUGAACUUGUGAUUUGAGAAUGGGGUUAGAGCGAUGAAGCAUGGGGAGACUAUCUACUACAGGCUUUGGAAGUUGAUUAAAAAGGUGCAACCUAAACAGCAGUGUUGUUGGGUGGAAGAAGCAGUGAUAUCGGGUAAGUUGAGAAAGCAGUAGCAGUAGUAGUAGCAGCUUGUGAUGAAAAGACUCAUGUUAAAUUGAAUCAAUCAAUGAACGAACCAAGGUAAGUGAGAACAAGGGGCUGUGUUUGUGACAGAACAAUACAUCGUCCAAUUUGUAGUAAUAAAAAAAAGGAACUUGUCUAUGUUCUUUUUUAAGAUCCUAUUUUAUUUAUAUUUUUAUAUAAUAUAUAUAACCAAACAAAUAAUAUUAUUGGAUUUCAACAUCUUAUGCCAGUUAAUUAAUCACUUAUUCCGCCUA